rnacentral:lncRNA from 1 species
CCGUCUAUCGUUGCCGUCGGGAUUGUUUGUCGAUAUUUCGAAUGGAGCGCGGUAUUUCGCAUUGUGUAUAGGCCGGUACACGUCCGCAGUAUCCGGCCGUUCAACCAAAUGUUUAAUAAUACUAUUUCAUUCCAUCCAUCCACAAUAUUGCCCGGAUAAAUAUAUUACAAUCCAUCAGAGUGCCGCACGCGUCGCUGGCUCCGAUUUCUGCAGUGCACGGUCGAAUGAAUGUCCGCCGCACGCCUCCCUUUCCCAAAUCCAAAGCCACGACGUGAGGGAGUGCGGUACGAUAUUCGUUCAUUCGGUAUUAAUAGACUGUGAUAAAAGCCUGAUUAACACUAUCCAUUAGCAUUUAUAAAUUCUCGUCCAAAUGCGCACCCUCGUCAUCGGCGAGGGGGAAAUUGGUGGAACGAUAUCGAACCUCCUCUACUGCACCGAGACAAAUCAACCCCACCUCAACUAUUGGCCAGGCGACCAGACAGGCGUUGAACCCGGAAAAUAGCGCGUCCAGAGCCGAAGUGCCGAGGCUCUCGUAGACCUUCUCCUGGGUCGCGUGUCCUUCGGAGUCCAGGGUGGCGGAGUUGAAGCAGUAGUCAAAACCGUAGCGUCUCGUCCGCUUUCGACUGUCGCCAGCCUUGCUCGCCGAGACUUUCAGGUAGGAACGGGAAUCCCGGUGGGAAAGAAGAUCGACAUUUCACCUUUGGAUCCGAGAAAUUAUCGAAAUUCCGGGCUACUUGAGUACCAUGGAAUCUGUGGCAAUCUCGAUUUGUGAACAAGUUUCUAAAGAGGUAUAAUUUAUUGUGAGAAGUAAUUGCGAUAGCGAAUAGAGUCAGUGUCGUGGGAUAAAGAAGAGAGUGUUGAGUGUAAUCACAAGUGAGAAUGUUCUUUAGGGAAUGUUCUUGGGGGCCAAAACUUGGAUGGAUCAAUAUUUGGAAUGACCGAUAUAUCGAUAUUUCAAACAUGCGAAAGUAAAAUAAUGGAAGAUGAAUUGUUCGAAGUCUUGAUUUUCGAAAAUAUCACUGAUUAGAAACAUUCUAAUACAAAGUCUUUCGAAAU